ensembl:lncRNA
GAAAAAUCAGACGGAGAUUCUCCUGGGAAAAGAGAGGAUCGUUAUUUGAAUAACCUGCAGUGAAUUCUAAUCAAUGCAACGUGACUUUGAAAAUGAAUGUGGUCUUUCAACCCGCUGUACAUGAGCCAUAAUAUUAAUCAUAACUUCAUGGCACAGUAAAGCCUAUGACAAAUGGCUAUUCAGUGGACUAACGAAAAGAGCAUUCAUAGUGGGAGGAAGGAGGAAUUUGUCACCUUUGGUGGAUGCACACCCUGGAGGUCUGCUGGGCACGGAGCUCCAGUGUAGCAACCAAGCCAGCAUCACAAUGUGUUGUGUUGCGUGGAGAUAGCAACAGAAUCUGUACAGUGCUGAUGUAGCCACAUUAAUAGAUUCACAUAUAGACUAAAGUACAACUGCUGCCCAUGGCAGCCCUCAGGCAAAAGCUCCAGAAGAGCACAAAGGCCUUGAAGGUUAAGCUUGAGAUCUGUCAGUCUGGGAUAUGAAGCACGCUGCUGAGUUAAAGGUCUUCCACUUGCAACAUCUUGCGGUCUGACCCUGGACACUCAAAUUGGUAGCAGGAACCUAUCACAUCAUUGUCAGUGAUCUAGGGGAAUAGAAUUUAUCUUACCCAUAGCUAAAAAAUCAGAAGUGUAAGAGAAAAAUUCAGUAGACUUGCAAAAAGGAAGGGAGAGUUUCAGUGGAUAACUGGAUGAACAUGUUCUUGGGGUGCAAAAAGCAAACAAAAUAUUUGCCUGUAAAUUCUAUGUAAAUGCCUAGAAGACUUGGCAUCACAAAGUUUGUUUGUUGAGUACUACUUUGUUGUUCUUGCUAAAUCAUAUCAGAAAGACAAAGUAAAAGCCACAAGGUAAUUAGGGUCUGUUGGAAGGAGGUGGUGGUUGCAGAGAUCAGUCUAAGUAGCUUACUUAGUUAAAGGAUAGGAUACGAUUUUAUCACAGUAUGUAUCUUUGGGCAGGAGAUUACAUAAAGAGGAGGAAUGUUUACAUGAUGGAACAAAGAUCUGAGAAGAUGCAAGUUUUAACACUAAGAAUUCUUUGAAAUAAGCAUCAAGAAAUGAGUCCGAUUUUCUGCAACUUCAAAUUUUGAAGAGAAGAUUAGAUAGCAUUUUAAAGCAGGCAUCAUAGCUUCUUUGGAAUUUGUGGGUUUGAUGCAAGAAUUGUUAGGCAAAAUUUCAUGUUCUACAUUAAUGCAAGUCAAAUAAGACAAUGAAAACUAGGAAGAUGUUGUGUUAAGACUGCUUCCACCUUUCCCCACUAAUUCCAGUCAGUCUGAUGCACAUUCUGUUUUACCAGGUACUAUGGUGUCCCCAUAACUGAGCAGUUGCAUAAUUGGGACAGUUUGAAGAAUGCUCAAGCUUUAAAAACCUAACAAGAAGUUCAAGCUUUCUUGAAGAUUUAUGGAGAAGGAUGACAGUAAGCCAUUCAGCAGUCACAAAGAGGGACUGUCAUCAGAAUCUCCCAGUUGCUUUCUUGCCAAUACCUGUGGUCGUAUCUGUUUCGAACUUGAAGUAAUCAAUUAAGGCUUGCUGUGGUAUCUGGGAAGACAGAGUCAAUAUUGUGCUGUAUUUUAAAGGGCUCCUUUGGCUUAGUUGCAUUUUGUACUGUGAACACUUACCAUUUCUUGGUUCUCUGUUGCCAUUUUAAAAUAUUUUUAAUAUUCUAUUUUUUAAUGCGGGGGAGAUAUUCUUUAUCUAUAAGAAGAGAAUAAAUAACUAUGGUGGGGAAAUAUGCAACACACUCAUCCUGCAGCAGCUUGGAGCAGCUGAAAGUCAGGCUGUCUUCUUGUCAGGGGCAUAGACUUAAGCCAUCAAAUGGUCUUUGCACAGCUUUCAUGCCAGAUGAUCAGUUUCUCAGAGGAAUAAAACUCGGUAGCCUGAUUGUUCAAGGACAAGCAGGGAGUUUAAAACCCUGGGGGACAUGCAGGAUUUCUUCUGUGCUUUUCUGGAGGGCAACAAGUUCCAGUUGAAUUUCAGAAACAAUGAACUGGUUAUAUUCCUCUCUUUGGGGUAAAGCACUGAAGAAAAAAAUGGAUUCACAUGAAGCAUGAGAAGAAAAGGGAAAAUGUACUUUAGAUUUUUUCCUAACUCCCUUUUAUCUUUGUAGCUGCAAAUAUAUUGGUUUUGGUUGAAAAAUAUAAAAUCCAAACCUUAGAAUUUAACCAUAGUUAUUAGAUAUAUAUCUUUGUCCAAUUCUGAAAGAAGGCAGAUUUUCACAAACUUACAGUAUUCCUGGCUGAAUUUAGAUAGUUUGGAAUAAAGAUAUCAUUUUUUUCAGACCAUCAGUGUGGAUGAUGUCCAGCUUGCCUCUGUAUUUUUCAAACAUGGUUUUCUUUGACAGCCAGUAUGUAUGGUGCCACUUUCUUGAGGUACCUUUUAUUUGCUUUGUUUGCCAUUGUAUUUUACUUUUUUCUAAGCUAGCCAGAUCUGAAACCUGAAUUCACUAGGACAAAAAUUUCACCAGCUGGGGCUCCAACUGACUGAUCCAUGUUCUUAUUCCCUGUCUCAGGAAGAAGAGCUUUGAUAUGAUAACUAAGAAGAAUGGUGCCAGUAGAAUAAGAUGAUUAAACUAGGCUGCUCAUACAAUCAGAUUUCUGUCUAAGCCCAGUUAACUGGAAGAUGGUUCUAUUUUUGUUUUGUUUUGGUUUUACUAGAGCCUUGGAUAUUUAUGGUAUCAAUGAAAAGUCUGAUCUUUGGUAAUAUAUGUCUUCAAGUACAGACUUUGUAAGAAAUUUGUAAUUAUGGCUCAUUUUAUUUAAGCCACUCUGUAAAACUGAAUAGGGAACUGAAUAGGAACCUGAUACUUAAAAGAAAGUAUAGGAAAAAUUAAGCAUCUCUACCAAUUUGUAAACCCUUCAAACGUAAUUUCCAGGCUGUGCUACUGGUUUCAACUCCAAUAAGGUACAGAUUUUGCUGUAAGAAUUUUCUUUUCAAAUCAUUUCAAUAGCACAUCAGCUUAGGAGGGUCCUUAGGAGGGUUUCCUGCAUGCCUGUUUGUGUACGUCCUACAUGCAGGAAUUGGCACUGAAUGGAAAAUCAUUAAUUCAACAGAGAGAAAACUUGAGUCCCAGUGAAGUUGCAGAGUUUAGCAUCUGAAUUUGAUGGAGGCAGUAUCACCCAUGAGUUUUAACUGUAUUUUCACACUAUUUGAAAGUCAUCAGAAAUUCUGGAGUUAUAGAAGAGAGAAACAAGUCUUUCCUAGCCAGAAAGGUCAAAGAAGAAAAAGCCUUCAGCUUCAUCCGUCAGAGACUGAGAGAUACUAUAGAAUACUUCAUCCAUAGCAGUUUAAAAUAGUUAAAGCUUUUCAAACCCGCUUGGACAGGUGUUGUCUUAGGUUCCCCAGAAUUUAGCAUGGAUAAUGACCUAUCUUGAUUCAGGAAGAAAAACAAUACCAGAACAACUUUGUGAGCAAAGCUAAUCCAGUGCCUUCCCUCCUCUUCCUUCCCCCUUCUAACUUUCUCUAUUCCUUGAACUCCUUUCAGAUGUUGCUCCUUCCGCUUCCACCACCACAAGAGACCUGCAGUUCUUGUUUCUGGCGCUCAGAUCCAUACCAGAAAACCAGAAUAUCAGCACAGUAAUAACAGCUGGCUAGAGCCCUGCUCUCUCUUCAGCCCUGCAGCUGUUCUCCCAUGUCACUUUAACUUUGUCUACAUUGUCGUAGUAUUCAUGAGUUCCAAAAAUAUAUUAUAAAAGUGGAAUAAAAGUGUGACACCUAUUUCCUCUUGCUUCCUCACUAUGGUCUUCUGUCAGUUUAGUCACAGAAGUAAAAAUAGAACCAAUUAUGAGGAGGGGAUGUCACAUGGAAGUAGCUUGAUAUUGUAUAUCCCAGUAAAAUAAUAGCAGCAAGGGUGUGCCCAAUUUCUAUAUCUGCUAAGAGAAAUGGCCUCUUGCAAACACUGUUCAGAAAGUUUGACUAAUUGCCAGCAUCAGAUGAAUAACAAACUGCUGUCAAUAAAAGAAAUGAUUCUGUUCCUGCUAGCAACAGAGAAAACUGGCAGGAUUAGACCCGAAAGAGAGAGUAAUACAAAGGUCAUAUAUCUGAUUUCAGUCACAUAGAAGGAUUAUUGAUUUAUUCGAGGGUUACUGAAAUGAAGCUCUGGCUCAUGGUUCAGGUGAAGAUGGGAGG